GAUCAUGAAUUCAGUUGUCACUUACUGGCGACGGUUAUAACGAAAUUUUUAACGAUUUGAUUUUAAUAUUCGCACGUGUCGGAAUCUUCACUGGUUUUAAUGGAGCUCUCAAAUGGAAGAUACGCGGUAAAAUACGUGGAUCCAUAAGUUCGAAUGAUUUAAGUAACGGAAGUCUGUGAUAUAUCGAGCAUUUAUACGUGUAUAUUGCCAGAUUCGUUCGAAAUAUGUUACAGCUGUAGUGAAUUUAAAUUGCGUACUUCCGGGCGAUCGAUCGUGCGAUCUAUUCAACUUGCAUACAAUAUCAAGACAAACUUCAGUAAUUACAUAUCGAUGUAUUUUGCUGCUCAAAAUUCGUCAUUUUCACUAAUUUGCAAUAAAAUAUUUCGGAUAUCGUAUAACUCGUUAUGUAUUUGUUUCGCCCACUUUAUUUUUUGUUUAAUUUUAUUUUUUUCGCGUUCGUGUACUUUUUCUUCACGAUACAAUAAUGUGCAUACGACGCGCAGUUAAUAUCGGAAAUGCAAAAUAUCGCGCCGUUGUGUUUUCGCGAGUGUUGAAUGUGUGCAUAGAAACGAGAUGGAGGCUGAGAGGAGAAGGCCUCGGAGACAUCGAGAAACCAUGGCGAAACAACCAUAGGUUCAACGCACAGUUCACGUAGUUCAUAUCCACCGCUGCGUUUUGAUGUAUCCGGACGGAAGACGAGAGAAGAGACGAAAGUCGUGCAGAGAGGACGAGGAAUGUUUGUCGGAUAAGAGG